AAGUACCAUCUGCUUUCGCAGAGAUCUAUAUUUGAUUCACUUUCCGAAUGUGAAGCACCUUCUCUUCUCUCAUUAAUCUUCUACUUCUUAUUAGCCACACUUUUACAACGAAUUGUAAAACAUAGUUACUAAUACGGAAUCAAGCAUUCAAGUAGAAGAACCAACUGUUUUGAACUUUUCAAGAACAUUUUAUAACACCUUCGAAAGGUGUGUUCUU
rnacentral:lncRNA from 1 species